rnacentral:rRNA from 1 species
GACGAACGCUGGCGGCGUGCUUAACACAUGCAAGUCGAACGAGUGGCGAACGGGUGAGUAAUACGUGGGUAACCUGCCCGAUAGAGGGGGAUAACUACUGGAAACGGUGGCUAAUACCGCAUACUAUCGGAUGAACCCAUAUGGGAUUAGCUAGUAGGGGGGGUAAAGGCUCACCUAGGCGACGAGCUCUAGCUGGUCUGAGAGGAUGAUCCGCCCAACGUGGACUGAGACACGGCCCAGACUCCUACGGGAGGCAGCAGUGGGGAAUAUUGCACAAUGGGCGCAAGCCUGAUGCAGCCAUGCCGCGUGGGGGAUGAAGGCUUUCGGGUUGUAAACCUCUUUCGCUAUCGAACGGGUAGGUGGAGAAGAAGCGCCGGCUAACUACGUGCCAGCAGCCGCGGUAAUAC